rnacentral:lncRNA from 1 species
AUUAAAAUGCUUGCAAUAUUGGUAAAUCCGAGUUACUUCAAUUACUGAGCUACUGUUAAUAGACUAUUAUAGUCUUUACCAACAAAGAGUGGAUGAUGAGGCAGUUAUUUCUGUUGAGCAUCAACUAUAGCUCACAUCUUAAAACUUGUGGAUAAAAAUGUCUUCCUAUUUUCUUGAUUUUUACUCUUUGCACCUACUUGUCUUCUGCCAUAGCUAAUUGGUUUUGUACUAUCUGCAAUGAAUUUGAGUCACAAGAUUAAACUUUGAAAUUUUCCUUUCUGUUUAUUUUUCCUUUUAUAAUAAUAAAAGAGAUGAUUUGUGUAAUAAAUCAGAAUCGUUGGCUUUGGUAUUUAUUUGUGUUUUGGUGAACAUGUCAGAUUUGGUUUUUGCAUGGACCUAGGUUAAUUAUGGUAUAGAAAGGAUUCAAAUGUUACAUACUGUAGGAAUAUGUUUAAGAGGAUUGAAGGUGAUGACGUGGUCAGAGACAUUGUAAGGGUCAGUACUUUGACUUCUUAUCUUGUGUCGAUAAAUGUGCUAGUAUUCAUAUAAUAAUUCUUCAUACUCUUUAUCUAAGUUUCUCACUGAUAUGGCCCUCUGGCAUGUAGGUUGCACCAAAGUUAUUUGCAGAGCUCAAUGAACUGCGUGGUAGUUUUAGGGUAUUUUCAUUCUUCAUUUGGUGUAUUUUAUGCAAGAGUGUGGGGGAGAGUGCGGAUCAUGUUUUCUUAUCCUGCCGGUUUAGCUGGAAAUUAUGAUGUUCUAUUUAAUGAGAUUAAUGUUAGUUAGGUGGCGCCACAACACUGUUUAUCUUUUCUGGGUGAGAAAUCUAAAGUAUUGGGUGGUGGAAAGAAUGCUAAAGUAAUACGGGGCUGUAUGAUGAUGGCUAUCAUUUAAUCUAUUUGGUCGGAAAGAAACCAACGGAUCUUCGAAGAUUUUAGGUGGAUGUAAGUGGAGGAGGUGUGGGGAAGGUCAAGUAUCAGGCAGCACUUUGGGCACCUGUUUAGGAACGCUUCUGUUCCUGUCAUUGUUCUAGACUGGAAAGCUGAAGUGUCAUGAAUAUGUUUAGGUUUGUUAAAUUAGAUGUAGCUUGAAUUGUUGUUUUUUCUCUCAUAGAUUCUUGGUGGAUUGC